rnacentral:rRNA from 1 species
GACGAACGCUGGCGGCGUGCUUAACACAUGCAAGUCGAACGGGCCUGUCUUCUUUUUUGGGGGGUGGGUUGAGUGGCGAACGGGUGAGUAUCACGUGAGUAACCUGCCCUUCGGUCCUGGAUAACCGCUUGAAAGGGCGGCUAAUACGGGGUGGUCCGGUUGGUCCGCAUGGGCUGGUCGGGAUAGAUUCACUGUUUUUGGUGUAUCGGCGGGGGAUGGGCUCGCGGCCUAUCAGCUUGUUGGUGGGGUGAUGGCCUACCAAGGCGGUGACGGGUAGCCGGCCUGAGAGGGUGGGCGGCCACACUGGGACUGAGAUACGGCCCAGACUCCUGCGGGAGGCAGCAGUGGGGGGUAUUGCACAAUGGGCGGAAGCCUGAUGCAGCGACGUCGCGUGAGGGAUGGAGGCCUUCGGGUUGUGAACCUCUGUUUCCGGUGGUGAAGGCCCUGUCCGUGUGGUGGGGUUGACGGUAGCCGGGGAUGAAGCGCCGGCUAACUACGUG